rnacentral:rRNA from 1 species
ACGGUAGAGGGGGCAACCCCUUGAGAGUGGCGAACGGGUGAGUAAUGUAUCGGAACGUGCCCAGUCGUGGGGGAUAACGUAGUGAAAAUUACGCUAAUACCGCAUACGAUCUAUGGAUGAAAGCGGGGGAUCGCAAGACCUCGCGCGAUUGGAGCGGCCGAUAUCAGAUUAGGUAGUUGGUGGGGUAAAGGCUCACCAAGCCAACGAUCUGUAGCUGGUCUGAGAGGACGACCAGCCACACUGGAACUGAGACACGGUCCAGACUCCUACGGGAGGCAGCAGUGGGGAAUUUUGGACAAUGGACGCAAGUCUGAUCCAGCCAUUCCGCGUGCAGGACGAAGGCCUUCGGGUUGUAAACUGCUUUUGUACGGAACGAAAAAGCUCUCAUUAAUACUAGGAGUCCAUGACGGUACCGUAAGAAUAAGCACCGGCUAACUACGUGCCAGCAGCCGCGGUAAUACGUAGGGUGCAAGCGUUAACCGGAAUUACUGGGCGUAAAGCGUGCGCAGGCGGUUAUAUAAGACAGAUGUGAAAUCCCCGAGCUUAACUUGGGAACUGCAUUUGUGACUGUAUAGCUAGAAUACGGCAGAGGGGGAUGGAAUUCCGCGUGUAGCAGUGAAAUGCGUAGAUAUGCGGAGGAACACCGAUGGCGAAGGCAAUCCCCUGGGCCUGUACUGACGCUCAUGCACGAAAGCGUGGGGAGCAAACAGGAUUAGAUACCCUGGUAGUCCACGCCCUAAACGAUGUCAACUGGUUGUUGGGUCUUCACUGACUCAGUAACGAAGCUAACGCGUGAAGUUGACCGCCUGGGGAGUACGGCCGCAAGGUUGAAACUCAAA